CAAGUGUCACGAAGUAAACAUCUGAUUUUUACGUCAGCAAAAUUUAUCAACUGUAAAUUCCUUGUCUCUAAGCAGCAGGGAAUCGCAUGACAUUACAAGGCCAAUGCCUAAUAGCAAGAUGGGAGAAGAAGAAAAAUAUGAGCUGAUGGAUUGAUGAAUGGAGGGACUGAGUGAUGGAUGAAGCAGCAGACUCUGGACUCAAAUUUCAUCAACAAGAUGUAAGUGGCAGCAGUACCAGGAAACAAAACUGAGAAGAGGAGUGAACCUGGAAUUUGUAGACGCAGAACAGAACAGGUAAUGUUUCUUUGGAUGGUUUUUGUACUUCACAGAGAAACUCUCCGAGCAAAACAUAUUUCAGUGUAAUGAAGACUUGCAGCUGGGUUUUUGGAACUACAGCAGACCUUAAAUCAAAACCAAAUUGA